UACGGAGGGUGCAAACGUUGCUCGGAAUUGUUGGGCGUAAAGCGCACGUCGGCGGACCGCUAAGUCGGAUGUGAAAGCCCUCGGCUUAACCGAGGAAGUGCAUUCGAAACUGACGGUCUUGAGUAUGGAAGAGGGUCGCGGAAUUCCCGGUGUAGAGGUGAAAUUCGUAGAUAUCGGGAGGAACACCAGUGGCGAAGGCGGCGACCUGGGCCAAUACUGACGCUGAGGUGCGAAAGCGUGGGGAGCAAACAGG
rnacentral:rRNA from 1 species